rnacentral:rRNA from 1 species
UAACGAAUAUUCCGCAAUGGGCGCAAGCCUGACGGAGCAAUGCCGCGUGCAGGAUGAAGCCCCUCGGGGUGUAAACUGCUGUCAGGGAUAAGCAACACAUGAGCUAUCCCAGAGGAAGAGGCGACUAACUCUGUGCCAGCAGUCGCGGUAAUACAGAGGCCUCAAGCGUUAAUCGGAAUCACUGGGCUUAAAGGGUGCGUAGGCUGACUCGUAAGUGCUUUGUGAAAUCCCAUCGCUCAACGGUGGAAUUGCUCGGCAUACUGCGAGUCUUGAGGUCGGUAGGGGCUGCCGGAACUGUAGGUGGAGCGGUGAAAUGCGUAGAUAUCUACAGGAACGCCAAAGGUGAAGACAGGCAGCUGGGCCGAUUCUGACGCUGAGGCACGAAAGCGUGGGGAGCAAACGGGAUUAGAUACCCAUGUAGUCCCUGAGCGGGCUGGCAAGGCGCAU